UUCCAUCUUUUAGAAUCCUCAUAUGGAUUUUGACUAAGAACUAGCAUUUAAUUAAAUAUAUUCCAAAAUGAGUUUAUUAUGAUGCUUAAUAUUUUCAUACUAAUUUAUUGUAAUAAAAUAGGCCCAGUUCUGUUACACUGGCCCCAACAUUUAUGAAAUAACUUAAUUACUAGCCAGUUGUGGAAAGGAGUUGUUUAUGAAUUUGUACGUUCGGCAUCAUUCGGGUGAAAAUCGAAACUCCUUCGGCUCGAUGCGUUUGCGUUUUGUACACAGUAAAAAAUGACCUGGUGGUAGAAAAGAUAUUUAGUGUGGUAAAUUAUCAGAGUGUUAAUAUUUACACUCGCGUUAAUAAAAUUAAACAGAAAUAAUAACACGCAAACUUUGAAAAUCAAAUCUACCAAAAAAAAAAGCGAAAUUAGUGUGUGGAGUGUAAACUUCACUUAUAUUUGGUAAGAAUCAUAUAAUCAGUGUAAAUGUUACCUUCCAAGAAAUGUUGUUUGCCUUACAUACGUCUUAAAAACACCCAUACCGUGUUAUAAAGACAGGCAAAACGCAGUUUUAACACUCGGGAGUGUUAAAAAAACCAUCAUAUUGGGUGACGCGCGGCAUAUCCCCACUGCUUUCGCGUUCCUGCACGCCUAUUUGCCUAUUUCAAGUUGGUGGUUGUACGGGUUGAUCGUUGUGUGUUAUAGUGCCCAUGAUUUUGGCAAACUGAUGCAUAAAAUUCAGUUAAACAACAAAACUAAAUACGCCAAAAUUGAUGAAACAUCAGAUAAUGUGAGUCUGAAAUAGUCGAGUUAGGAGAUAUUUUAUAAUGACAGCUUAAGAACCUCAAGUGGCUUGGAGGCUCCGAACCGUAGCAAGAUCCAAUAUGGUGCCAAGCUCCAAACGAAAGUUACCACCACCCGUUACAUAUAAUAGUGAUGACCCAUCAGAUGAACCAACCUUAAAAAAACCAGAACAUUGAGAGAACAAGAAGUAGCAGACAUAGAAUUUUUUCAAAAUGCUUGUUGCAAGACACAGAAAAAGGAAAUCAUGGAAAAAAUUAAAAACCUUUUUAUAUGUAGAAAAAUUAAUGACUUUUCAUUUGUCGAUUAUCCCAGAUUUUUGGACACGCUAGGACUUAUUGAACAAGAUGUCAGCUUGCUAUAUCCUGCUAAUGCCAAUAACUUUGUGGCGAAGUUUGAAAAUAAGGCUGCAAAUAUCAUACAAAUAUACGAGGCGACAAUUUCAUACCUCAAAUAAGGUACAUAUAUAUUAUUUUUUAUUUUGCGUUUACUUAUAAAUAGCUCCCUAGAGUAAGGAAUAUUUUUUGUUUCGUUGCCACCAAACGUAACUAUACCUACCUAAAAUAAGGUAUACAUAUAUUUUUUUAUUUUCCUAGAGUAAGGAAUAUUUUUUGUUUCGUUGUUACCUACAAAUAAAUAAGGUAUAUUAUAUAUUUUAUUUUGGCCAAUAAAAUCCUUUAUGGGUA
rnacentral:lncRNA from 1 species